rnacentral:rRNA from 1 species
GACGAACGCUGGCGGCGUGCCUAAUACAUGCAAGUCGAACGCACAGUUUAUACCGUAGCUUGCUACACCAUAGACUGUGAGUUGCGAACGGGUGAGUAACGCGUAGGUAACCUGCCUGGUAGCGGGGGAUAACUAUUGGAAACGAUAGCUAAUACCGCAUAAUAUUAAUUAUUGCAUGAUAAUUAAUUGAAAGGUGCAAUUGCACCACUACCAGAUGGACCUGCGUUGUAUUAGCUAGUAGGUGAGGUAACGGCUCACCUAGGCGACGAUACAUAGCCGAACGGAGGAGGUGGACGGGCACACUGGGACUGAGACACGGCCCCGACUCCCACGGGAGGCAGCAGUAGGGAAUCUUCCGGCAUGGGAGAAAGUCUGAACGGACAACGCCGCGGGGGGGAAGAAGGGUUUCGGAUCGGAAAGCUCUGUUGUAAGAGAAGAACGGGUGUGAGAGUGGAAAGUUCACACUGUGACGGUAUCUUACCAGAAAGGGACGGCUAACUACGUG